AGGCGACGAUCAGUAGCUGGUCUGAGAGGAUGAUCAGCCACACUGGGACUGAGACACGGCCCAGACUCCUACGGGAGGCAGCAGUGGGGAAUUUUCCGCAAUGGGCGAAAGCCUGACGGAGCAACGCCGCGUGGGGGAUGAAGGCCUCUGGGCUGUAAACCUCUUUUCUCAAGGAAGAAGACAUGACGGUACUUGAGGAAUAAGCCACGGCUAAUUCCGUGCCAGCAGCCGCGGUAAUACGGGAGUGGCAAGCGUUAUCCGGAAUUAUUGGGCGUAAAGCGUCCGCAGGCGGCCCUGUAAGUCUGUCGUUAAAGCGUGGAGCUUAACUCCAUUUCAGCGAUGGAAACCACAGGGCUUGAGUGUGGUAGGGGCAGAGGGAAUUCCCGGUGUAGCGGUGAAAUGCGUAGAUAUCGGGAAGAACACCAGUGGCGAAGGCGCUCUGCUGGGCCAUAACUGACGCUCAUGGACGAAAGCCAGGGGAGCGAAAGGGAUUAGAUACCCCUGUAGUCCUGGCCGUAAACGAUGAACACUAGGUGUCGGGGGAAUCGACCCCCUCGGUGUCGUAGCCAACGCGUUAAGUGUUCCGCCUGGGGAGUACGCACGCAAGUGUGAAACUCAAAGGAAUUGACGGGGGCCCGCACAAGCGGUGGAGUAUGUGGUUUAAUUCGAUGCAACGCGAAGAACCUUACCAGGGUUUGACAUCCUGCGAAUCCCUUGGAAACUUGGGAGUGCCUUCGGGAGCGCAGAGACAGGUGGUGCAUGGCUGUCGUCAGCUCGUAUCGUGAGAUGUUGGGUUAAGUCCCGCAACGAGCGCAACCCACGUCUUUAGUUGCCAGCAUUCAGUUGGGCACUCUAGAGAGACCGCCGGUGAUAAACCGGAGGAAGGUGUGGAUGACGUCAAGUCAUCAUGCCCCUUACAUCCUGGGCUACACACGUACUACAAUGCUACGGACAGAGGGCAGCAAGCUCGCGAGAGUUAGCAAAUCCCAUAAGCCGUGGCUCAGUUCAGAUCGUAGGCUGCAACUCGCCUACGUGAAGGAGGAAUCGCUAGUAUCGCAGGUCAGCAUACUGCGGUGAAUACGUUCCCGGGCCUUGUACACACCGCCCGUCACACCAUGGAAGUUGGCCAUGCCCGAAGUCGUUACUCCAACCCUUGUGGAGGAGGACGCCGAAGGUGGGGCUGAUGACUGGGGUGAAGUCGUAACAAUGUAGCCGUACCGGAGGUGCGGCUG
rnacentral:rRNA from 1 species